rnacentral:rRNA from 1 species
AGCAUCCGCGGUAAUUCCAGCUCCAAUAGCAUAUAUUAAAGUUGUUGCAGUUAAAAAGCUCGUAGUUGAAUUUCGGGGUCAGUAGGUCGGUCGUGCCACUGGUAUGAACUGGUUUUACUGAUUCCUCCCUCUUGAAGAACUGUAAUGCCAUUAAUUUGGUGUUGCAGGGAAUCAGGACUGUUACUUUGAAAAAAUUAGAGUGUUUAAAGCAGGCUUUAGCUUGAAUACAUUAGCAUGGAAUAAUGAAAUAGGACGUUUGAUCCUAUUUUGUUGGUUUCUAGGAUUGACGUAAUGAUUAAUAGGGAUAGUUGGGGGCAUUAGUAUUCAAUUGUCAGAGGUGAAAUUCUUGGAUUUAUUGAAGACUAACUACUGCGAAAGCAUGUAGCCGAGGAUGUUUUCAUUAAUCAAGAACGAAAGUUAGGGGAUCGAAGACGAUCAGAUACCGUACGUAGUCUUAACCAUAAACUAUGCCGACUAGGGAUCGGAUGAUGUUAAUUUUUUAAUGACUCA